rnacentral:rRNA from 1 species
UACGGAGGGGGCGAGCGUUAUUCGGAAUCAUUGGGCGUAAAGGGCGCGUAGGCGGCCUAGCAAGUCAGGGGUGAAAUCCCUCGGCUCAACCGAGGAACUGCCUCUGAAACUGCUUGGCUAGAGACCGGGAGAGGGUAGUGGAAUUCCAAGUGUAGCGGUGAAAUGCGUAGAUAUUGGGAGGAACACCAGUGGCGAAGGCGGCUACCUGGACCGGUUCUGACGCUGAGGCGAGAAAGUGUGGGGAGCAAACAGG